UACGGGGGGGGUAAGCGUUGUUCGGAAUUACUGGGCGUAAAGGCUCGUAGGCGGCCAACUAAGUCAGACGUGAAAUCCCUCGGCUUAACCGGGGAACUGCGUCUGAUACUGGAUGGCUGGAGUGUGGGAGAGGGAUGCGGAAUUCCAGGUGUAGCGGUGAAAUGCGUAGAGAUGUGGAGGAACAUCGAUGGCGAAGGCAGCCCCCUGGGUCAAGACUGACGCUCAUGCACGAAAGCGUGGGGAGCAAACAGG
rnacentral:rRNA from 1 species